CGAUUAGGUCGGGAACUCAAAGGAGACUGCCAGUGAUAAACUGGAGGAAGGUGGGGAUGACGUCAAGUCAUCAUGGCCCUUACGACCAGGGCUACACACGUGCUACAAUGGCGCAUACAAAGAGAAGCGACCUCGCGAGAGCAAGCGGACCUCAUAAAGUGCGUCGUAGUCCGGAUUGGAGUCUGCAACUCGACUCCAUGAAGUCGGAAUCGCUAGUAAUCGUGGAUCAGAAUGCCACGGUGAAUACGUUCCCGGGCCUUGUACACACCGCCCGUCACACCAUGGGAGUGGGUUGCAAAAGAAGUAGGUAGCUUAACCUUCGGGAGGGCGCUUACCACUUUGUGAUUCAUGACUGGGGUGAAGUCGUAACAAGGUAACCGUAGGGGAACCUGCGGUUGGA
rnacentral:rRNA from 3 species